rnacentral:rRNA from 1 species
UACGGAGGAUGCGAGCGUUAUCCGGAUUUAUUGGGUUUAAAGGGUGCGUAGGCGGACUGUUAAGUCAGCGGUAAAAGCCCGGGGCUCAACCCCGGCGAGCCGUUGAAACUGGCUGUCUUGAGAUGUCGAGAGGUAUGCGGAAUGCGCAGUGUAGCGGUGAAAUGCUUAGAUAUUGCGCAGAACUCCGAUUGCGAAGGCAGCAUACCGGCGGCGAUCUGACGCUGAGGCACGAAAGCGUGGGUAUCGAACAGG